GUGCUUGCUUGGGAAGCACAUACACUUAAAUUAGAAGGAUACAGAGAAGAUUACAUACCCCUUAGCGAGGAUGACAUGCAAGCCACGAAGUGUUCUAUGCUUUU